GAGGAAGGGCUGGCAGUGCCCGCUGGACAGCUGCCCCGGGCAGGAGAGGAAGGGACAGGCCGAGAGGGGGACAGAGGCGCAGAGGCACAUGGAGACGCGGAGAGACGGGGAGACCCUCAGAGAGAGAGUGAGAAGCUAAAAGACCUGGAGAGGCGUGCAGCGGGAAGCAGGGGGCGAGGCAGCCGCGGAGGGGGAGCGGGGCUGCAGGCCGCCCCGGGCGGUGACCCUGCAGGUGGCAGCUGGAGGGGGGCGCCGGGGCCCAGAACUCUGUCCGGCCGAGUGGGCAGCAGGAAUACCUGACACAGAACAAUGGUGUUUCUUCAGCAGGUGAGUGCUCUCCCGGCCUCCGUGGGCUUUCAUCUUUCUCAGUCCCUGCAGCUGU
rnacentral:lncRNA from 1 species